rnacentral:sRNA from 1 species
UGAGUUCCAGGCCAGCUGGUGCUACAGAGUCAGACCCUGUCUCGAACAACAGUAAGGCAGUUCAUAGGGAAAAAGAAAUAGUAAGACAAGAGAACGAACUGCAUCUGAAAAUGUGUAAAACAACAUCAUCGAAGGAGGUGGUGGGAGCCCGCAUGAGUAGAGUCUGGGAGAUCGAGUUGAAAAUGAGAUUCAUAUAAGGAUAACUCUUACCCUUCAUCAACGAAACCUCUUUAUUCAGUUCAAGAAGCCACAACCAGGCGAAAUGCAGAGAAUGACUAACCAUGGAUUGCUCAACCACAACCGAUACAUCUACAACUUGGGCAUACACCAUGGCUCAGGGGACAUCAUUGAAAAGAAGGCAGAAGGAUGGACCAGAAGAACGGUGUCUCAGACACAACUCCUCAAGUUUUAUCAUCUCUCAAUAAUUCCAAACUAAGAAACAAUCCUUCAUGGACCAUAGCCAGAAAAGAGCUUCACACACUGUGUAUGUGUGUCAGAGCAUCACAUGUUACUUACCCUGUAAAUAUAUGUCACGACAUGUCCAAAUCUUCUUAAAACUGCAGUCCUAACGAUUCCACCUUGAAAUCUAUAAAGCAAAGACUGGAGAAGGAGGCAUGGGUCAGUACAUUGCAAGCAUGAUGAAACCCAAUUCUCUCAGUGAACUGAAAAUUGUUCAGGAUAACACAACAAAAUUACUCACAGAAAUCAACAAGCAAGCCUGCUGGAAAAGACAGAUAUAUCCACCCUGUUGCGGGGAGGGUUCUUUGUAAAUGUAUAUGAAAUACUUCAAUACAGUUCAAAUCUCAAAUAACCAAUAGACUUGAGAUCUGUUCUCUGACUAAAAUUAACUCAAUCAGCAAUUAAUGAUACAUGGAAAUGCAGACAAAGUUUCCUCUAUUUUAGAGACUAGGAAACAAUGAAAGUAAUAUGACCCUAACUCUAAUAUAUAUAAAUAUAUAA